rnacentral:rRNA from 1 species
GUGGGGAAUAUUGCACAAUGGGCGCAAGCCUGAUGCAGCCAUGCCGCGUGUAUGAAGAAGGCCUUCGGGUUGUAAAGUACUUUCAGCGAGGAGGAAGGCAUUAAGGUUAAUAACCUUGGUGAUUGACGUUACUCGCAGAAGAAGCACCGGCUAACUCCGUGCCAGCAGCCGCGGUAAUACGGAGGGUGCAAGCGUUAAUCGGAAUUACUGGGCGUAAAGCGCACGCAGGCGGUCUGUCAAGUCGGAUGUGAAAUCACCGGGCUCAACCUGGGAACUGCAUUCGAAACUGGCAGGCUAGAGUCUUGUAGAGGGGGGUAGAAUUCCAGGUGUAGCGGUGAAAUGCGUAGAGAUCUGGAGGAAUACCGGUGGCGAAGGCGGCCCCCUGGACAAAGACUGACGCUCAGGUGCGAAAGCGUGGGGAGCAAACAGGAUUAGAAACCCCGGUAGUCC